CCAAUCUGACUCCCAGAGCGACCCCUACCAGCCGACCCCGGGGCGCUCUUCACCCAACACCCCUCAUCUACGACAUGCCCCCAGCCUCCGGCACUUUCAGCACAGUCCUCCGCCUUCUCAUCUGUGACCUGUGAUCACACUCGACUUUCUGACAUCCUUUUAAGUGUUCUUGCACAGUGGGCGCUUACGGCUGCAAGCUCACAACGCAGUGGAGUCGCUCACAGCAUUACAUAAAUAUCAAACCCCAGUUGGCAGUGCAGCGGUCGCCGACGUGGCAGAGUGCGGGAAGGGGAAUCAGAGGAGAAGUAAGAGGUUGCAGCAUGAGAUCAUAGGAGUCACACUGAGCCACCAGAUCCAGUCUGUAUCCAGAUCAGAGGGUCACUGCAGUCACCCGGAUCCAGUACGUAUCCAGCCCAGAUGGUGGAUCAGCACCUAGAAAGGACCUCUACAGCCCUGAAAGACAGCGGAGGCCUGGACAACUAGAUGAGCCGCAGAGACAGAUCCCCUGUGAAGACCUUGUCUCAGACGACCAUCAGGACAAGACCACAGGAAACAGAUGAUUCUUCUGCACAAUCUGACUUUGCUGCAGCCUGGAAUUGAACUGCUGGUUUCAUCUGGCCAGAGGAGAACUGGCC
ensembl:lncRNA